rnacentral:rRNA from 1 species
UGACCUCAAAUCGGGUGAGACUACCCGCUGAACUUAAGCAUAUCAAUAAGCGGAGGAAAAGAAACUAACAAGGAUUCCCCUAGUAACUGCGAGUGAAGCGGGAAAAGCUCAAAUUUAAAAUCUGGCGGUCUUUGGCCGUCCGAGUUGUAAUUUAGAGAAGCGUCUUCCGCGCCGGACCGUGCACAAGUCUCCUGGAAUGGAGCGUCAUAGAGGGUGAGAAUCCCGUCUUUGGCACGGAUGCCCGGUGCUUCUGUGAUGCGCUCUCGAAGAGUCGAGUUGUUUGGGAAUGCAGCUCAAAAUGGGUGGUGAACUCCAUCUAAAGCUAAAUAUUGGCGAGAGACCGAUAGCGAACAAGUACCGUGAGGGAAAGAUGAAAAGCACUUUGGAAAGAGAGUGAAACAGUACGUGAAAUUGUUGAAAGGGAAACGCUUGAAGUCAGUCGCGUCGACCGAGACUCAGCCUUGCCUCGGCUUGGUGUACUUCUCGGCCCGACGGGUCAGCGUCAAUUUUGCCCCUCGGAUAAUGGCAAGGGAAAGGUGGCACCUUUACGGGUGUGUUAUAGUCUCCUGUCGCAUGCGAGGGGUGGGAUUGAGGAACUCAGCGCGCACCUUGGUGCUCGGGGCUUCUGCCCACGUCACGCGC